AAGGAUCAUUCAAAAAUAUCCUUAUUUCAUUUGUGUGUAAAUUCGUGUGCGUGUUCUUCUGAACACCGCAUACACACAUAUACCUUUUUUCUUUAAUUUUAUCUGUUGGGCGCAUUUCAGCGUCAAAUAUUGUCAUGAAUUUCUUCAAAAAAAAAGAAUAUUCAAAAACAACUUUCAACAACGGAUCUCUUGGCUCUC
rnacentral:misc_RNA from 1 species